UCAUUUGCAAAGAAUGUAAGAAGUCUUUGUAUUUAAUUUUUUGAAAUACAGAAAGUGAUAAAGUCGUUGUAUAUACUUUCAUAAUCGUUGCAUUCAAAAUCUAAAUGCAAGGACUUCAAGUGAAUUCCUUGCCCGACCCCUUACAAUUAUUGACUCCGCUCUCGGUGAGGUGAGUCUAUCACUUGGCUAUUGGAGGAAAAUAACAAAAAUUCUCCUCUUACUCCGAAAAGAAGAAGACCCCAGAUCCACGAAUACCCCAACCUCUAGAUCUGGUUUCUUACUGCCGAUCUGGUAUUACGCAUGAAUACCCACUCCCAAACUGAAGCUAAUUUCUCCAUUUCAAGCACCGUCGUCAUCAUCGACACCUUCAUCCGCUUUAAACUGUACCAAUCUACUGAUUGAGUAAAACCCAUAUCAUCUCUCGGGUCAUUUCUGAGUCCUAUGACGAUUGAAGGUGUUGGGUUUCUUUUGUUUCAUUUAAGGCUAACUUCUUGAAACUAGUUUAAAAUGGUUGAUAGCAACGCAUCAUCUACAAAGAUGCUCCUUAAUUCCAGUAGCUAAGCUACAGUAAUGCUCAAUUCUAGUAGCUAAGGUACAAUUAAUCUAGGCCAACUUUAUACAAUAAGGUACAAGUUCAUGACUUGCAUGUCAUUUUGAAGGAAACAUCAAAAUAUUGAGUUGUACCUUUCAGGUGUCUUGCUUCUGAAACCGUCAUUCUGUAAUUCUGUACAUCAAUGGCAACAAUGGAGUGCGUUAGACUAUCUUAACAGUGGGGUUUUCUGUCUCUACUCUCUAGUGAUUCCCACCAUCUUGUAUAUCCAACUGUCUUACCUCACAAGGUAGGACAAUUUUGAGGUCUUAAACAAUCAAGAAGGAAGACUUAUUGUCUUGACUCUUGAAUGAAUUAUGGUAACGCUAGGAACUGAAAUCUAGGCUUUCUAUUAAUAUAAAUGAUGAUUGAUAAUUAUCUGAUUGAAGAAACUAAGUAAACCAUUCAUAUUACAAAUCUAGUCCAUGAGAAGUUACUACUUACAAGUACAAGUUAUAAGGGAGUGGGUUGAUUCGUUAAGGGACCGGUACUGUGUACUAAAGAUCUGGAAGUCAGUAGAAAAAAACAGUGGGUUGAUUAGUUAAGGGACUAUACUUUGGUAUUGUAUACAUAAAAAAAAAGAAGUCAGUAGAAUCCCUUUCAAAUGACUUGAUAUUUUAAAGAGCUAUACUUUGGUUCUGUGUACUACAGAUCUGGAAGUGCUCAUGUAUUGGGUUUAUAUAUGAUUUAUAAUUAUUUUCUAAGUAAACUGGUACACCUAAAAUAGGCAUAAUAAUUUAACCUUGCAAUCACAAAUAUUAAUCAAUUGUAGUAUAGGAAAGAAGGGGUCUCCCGCAGAGAGAUUGCAUUUGUGUUUGGAGUGGAAGUUGAGCAGCGAAGUCUUCACAGAGGUAUAUAUUGGGGAGUAGCUGCACCACUAUAUGCCGUUGCAAGAAUGGACAGUAAGCACUGAUGCUGACAAAUUGUCUCAAGUUUCUGUUUCAAACGCCUUUCAGCGUCGUUUGUAUGGAUCUGGAACUAGAUGUGUUCUGUGAUCAAGUGAAAUACUGCCAAAUUGCAAUUUUCGAUGUACAAAGGAACCAAUUGUUUUUAAUUCAAGGAAUAAUAAAAAAAAAAAGUUUGGAAUGACA